rnacentral:lncRNA from 1 species
AACAUCGAGCGCAGCCUGGAAGCCCUUGGCAUCAAGGUGGGCAGGCCGGGGGCUGCCCUGUGCUCGGCGGGGCCGGGGACGGUGCCGUGAGCGGGGAGCACGGCCCCUGAGCCCCCUGAGCCGUGCCUCCCUCCCAGGUCUCAUCCCUGAAGGAGCUCACGGGUGCCUACGACGGGAGCUCGGACUCCUUUCUGCCCGUGGCCGAGCGGCUGCGGGGGCAGAAGGGCAGCCGGGGGGAGCCAGGAGAGAGGGGACCCCCGGGACGGGAGGUGAGCGCUGCCGGGCUCCGGGGACCCCUGUGGGCACCUCCCCAUCCCCGUGCUGUGCCCAAAUUCAUGGCUUUGCGUCCCCCUUCCCGGCUAGCUUGGAGACCCAGCCGAUCUUGGGAUGUAGUUAUUGUUUAUUUUUUUUUCUUGCAGGGCUCUUUAGGCUUCCCCGGUGAGAGAGGACCCAAAGGUGACAAAGGGGACCAAGGUGCCCCCGGCCCCCAGGGUCCCAUGGGCCGGGCUGUGGGCGAGCGGGGCCCCGAGGGUCCACCCGGGCAGCCGGGGGAGCCUGGCAAGCCGGGCAUCCCGGGGGUACCGGGCCGGGCCGGGGAGCUGGGGGAGGCCGGACGGCCCGGGGAGAAGGUGAGUGGGGGGCUACGGGCUGGGGGAGACCCGGCCCUGGGCUUGGGGACAGCUCCGUGACCUCCCACUGCCUCCUUUCCCCAGGGCGACCGGGGUGAGAAGGCGACCGGGGCGAGCAGGUGAGCCCAAACUGGGGACAGUGUCCCCCCUCUGUCCCCCCUCUGUCCCCUCUCUGCCCACCGCUGAUGUGAUGGGGGCUCUCUGGGGAGCCCCAUGGGGGCCAGGGUCAGCCGGGCAGGGGCUGGCUCUGCCCCAUUUCCCUCCGCUGUCCCUUUGAUGCUCCACCUCUUUUCCUUAUGGCUAGGGCAGAGAUGGCUUGCCGGGCCCCCCCGGCCCCCCAGGGCCCAAGGCAGACGUGAUGGAGGGCAGCCUGAUGGGCUUCCCAGGGGAGCGCGGCCCCCCCGGACUCAAGGGAGCGAAGGGUGAGCCGGGUGCCGAGGGCGAGCGAGGACCCAAAGGAGAUAAGGGCGAAGGCGGGCAGCGGGGCGAGCGAGGAGAGCCUGGAGAGAAGGGCAGGGAUGGGUCCCCGGUGAGUAUGGCACUGCGCCUCCGUCCACAUCGUCCCCGUGGUCCCCAUCUUCAUCCCCAUGGUCUCCAACCCCGUCUCCAUCAUUCCCAUCAUCCUCAUCAUCCCCAUGUUCUCCACCUCUGUUUCCAACAUCCUCCUCAUCCCCAUGGUCUCCAACCCCAUCUCCAUCAUCCCCGUCCUCCUCAUCCCCAUGUUCUCCACCUCCAUUUCCAUCAUCCUCCUCGUCCCCAUGGUCUCCAUCCCCGUCCUCAUCAUCCCCAUGGUCUCUAUCCCCAUCCUCAUACUCAUGGUCUCCAUUUCCAUGGUCUCCAUCAUCCCCAUCCUCAUCCCCAUCCCCAUGGUCUCCAUCUCCAUUCCCAUCUCCAUCCCCAUCCCCAUGGCCCCAUCCCCACCCCACUGCCUCCACCUCUUCUUCCAGGGCCUCCCAGGAGAGAGGGGUCUGGCCGGCCCCGAGGGGAAACCGGGCUUGCCAGGCUUCCCCGGCGUGCUGGGACGCCCGGUAGGUCCCCGUGUCCCCCCCUGCGUGUCCCCGUGUCCCCCUGCAUGUCCCUGUUCCCCUGGUUCUUGCCCCGUGGGCGCUUGGCACGGCGCAUUCUGGUGGGAUCUGGCGGUGCUUGUCCCUGCUUGGCGCGGGUGCCCAGAGCCACCGUGGAGCGGGGACCCGCUGCCCACAUCUCUUCCUCCCCCUCCAGGGCAACCAGGGAGAGCCGGGACCACCAGGACCUCCGGGCACCGCUGGCCCCCCGGGGACCCAGGGCCCAGCUGGGAUGAAGGUAAAUCAUCAUCAUCAUCAUCAUCAUCAUCAUCACCAUCAUCAUCACCAUCACCACCACCAUAUUUGACCCCGCAGAGGAACGCGCGGUGCCCUGCAGGCACCAGGGGGCUGUGGGGAAAAACGUGGGGCUGGUCCCCUGCUGGAGCCA